GAUGAACGCUGGCGGCGUGCCUAAUACAUGCAAGUCGAGCGAAUGGAUUAAGAGCUUGCUCUUAUGAAGUUAGCGGCGGACGGGUGAGUAACACGUGGGUAACCUGCCCAUAAGACUGGGAUAACUCCGGGAAACCGGGGCUAAUACCGGAUAACAUUUUGAACCGCAUGGUUCGAAAUUGAAAGGCGGCUUCGGCUGUCACUUAUGGAUGGACCCGCGUCGCAUUAGCUAGUUGGUGAGGUAACGGCUCACCAAGGCAACGAUGCGUAGCCGACCUGGGAGGGUGAUCGGCCACCCUGGGACUGAGACACGGCCCAGACUCCUACGGGAGGCAGCAGUAGGGAAUCUUCCGCAAUGGACGAAAGUCUGACGGAGCAACGCCGCGUGAGUGAUGAAGGCUGUCGGGUCGUAAAACUCUGUUGCUAGGGAAGAACAAGUGCUAGUUGAAUAAGCUGGCACCUUGACGGUACCUAGCCAGAAAGCCACGGCUAACUACGUGCCAGCCGCCGCAGUAA
rnacentral:rRNA from 1 species